rnacentral:rRNA from 1 species
UGGGGAAUAUUGCACAAUGGGCGCAAGCCUGAUGCAGCCAUGCCGCGUGUGUGAAGAAGGCCUUCGGGUUGUAAAGCACUUUCAGCGAGGAGGAAGGUGGUGAGCUUAAUACGCUCAUCAAUUGACGUUACUCGCAGAAGAAGCACCGGCUAACUCCGUGCCAGCAGCCGCGGUAAUACGGAGGGUGCAAGCGUUAAUCGGAAUUACUGGGCGUAAAGCGCACGCAGGCGGUUUGUUAAGUCAGAUGUGAAAUCCCCGGGCUCAACCUGGGAACUGCAUUUGAAACUGGCAAGCUAGAGUCUCGUAGAGGGGGGUAGAAUUCCAGGUGUAGCGGUGAAAUGCGUAGAGAUCUGGAGGAAUACCGGUGGCGAAGGCGGCCCCCUGGACGAAGACUGACGCUCAGGUGCGAAAGCGUGGGGCAGCAAACAGGAUUAGAUACCCUGGUAGUCCACGCUGUAAACGAUGUCGAUUUUGGAGGUUGUGCCCUUGAGGCGUGGCUUCCGGAGCUAACGCGUUAAAUCGACCGCCUGGGGAGUACGGCCGCAAGGUUAAAACUCAAAGGAAUUGACNGGGUCAUAGCUGUUUCCUG